ensembl:lncRNA
AUAUAUCUUAACAUGGGUGUAACUUGGACAGCUCCUAAGGUGCACAUUGUGAAUUCUCCAAAGAAUAUGUCUCUUUUGCCAAAAGACACGUUUUCUUUCCUUACCAAGGUUUUUGUUGAUGUGUUUUUGAUGUGUUUUCAUGAUGGCUUCCUUAGAAAUAAGAAAGGCCUCCACAUCACUAAAGAUGGCUCUACCUUGCAACAAGCCCAUUUAUUCUGGAACAAUAUUACUAAGUAUUUCAAAACCUCAAGAUGUUUGGUGUUUUUAUGACCCUGAAACCCAGAUACAAUAGAAAUUUUUCUUCCUUCCCAAAGGGAGCUCUGAGAACACUCUGCUGAAUGUCAAUGUAUGAUGGCAGAGACAAACAAAAUUCAUGGAUCCACCGUAAUGAAAAAAGGCCAUGGCGAAAUGAAAUGUUAACAUCAUUUCCAUUAAAGAAGAUAUAUAAAUAUCCAAGUGAAAAUACACAAGAAGAAUGGAGCCUCCAUGCACAGCUUUAUGGACUUCUAUAAUCUGGUUUUUUGAGCCACCAGCAAAUAGAUAAAUAAAUCCAAAUCUAUAUCAGUGCU